rnacentral:misc_RNA from 1 species
AUUUUCCCGAUGUCCUUUUCCAGCAUAUAUUCAGGCCUAGCAAUUAGAACAAAGCCUAAUGCCUGCAAAGACCCGACUUUUAUACCGAAAUCCUCCAUGCGGAGAUACUUUUUAAACAAGGUGAGGUUGCUGACAACAUCAAAAUUCCUCAGCAAUGAAUUCCCAUAGCGAAUAAGCAAUCCAAGACAAAACAGAGAACGGCACACUAGCUGCUUGUUUUCAGUUCCCAGAGCAUCCAGACGUUUGAAGAAUACCUGAAUAAGAUACUCAACAAUAGCAGCACCCUUUCCUGCUACUCUACUCAAAGAGCAAAGACACUUGAUGCAAGCAUGGACAACUGUUAAAAAUGAAUGCC